GUAGCGGUAAGGUGGCUAAGCCGGUAUUCCGGAUUUGGAUUUGGUUAAAAGGGGUGCGUAGGGCGGCCCUUUAUAAAGUCAGUGCUGAAAUAUCCCGGCUUAACCGGGAGGGUGGCAUUGAUACUGUAGGGCUUGAGUAAAGUUGAGGUUGGCGGAAUUGACGGUGUAGCGGUGAAAUGCUUAGAUAUCGUCAAGAACACCUAUUGCGAAGGCAGCUAACUAGCUUUAACUGACGCUGAUGCACGAAAGUGUGGGGAUCAAACAGG
rnacentral:rRNA from 1 species